rnacentral:rRNA from 1 species
UACGGGGGGAGCAAGCGUUGUUCGGAUUUACUGGGCGUAAAGGGCGCGUAGGCGGUCAGUGCAAGUCAGUUGUGAAAUCUCCGAGCUUAACUCGGAAAGGUCAACUGAUACUGCUCGACUAGAGUGCGGAAGGGGCAACUGGAAUUCUUGGUGUAGCGGUGAAAUGCGUAGAUAUCAAGAGGAACACCUGCGGCGAAGGCGGGUUGCUGGGCCGACACUGACGCUGAUGCGCGAAAGCUAGGGGGAGCGAACGGG